CAAGCAUAUCAAUAAGCGGAGGAAAAGAAACCAACAGGGAUUGCCCUAGUAACGGCGAGUGAAGCGGCAACAGCUCAAAUUUGAAAUCUGGCUUCGGCCCGAGUUGUAAUUUGCAGAGGAUGUUUAUGGUGCGGUACCUUCCGAGUUCCCUGGAACGGGACGCCACAGAGGGUGAGAGCCCCGUCUGGUUGGAUACCAAACCUGUGUUAAACUCCUUCAACGAGUCGAGUAGUUUGGGAAUGCUGCUCUAAAUGGGAGGUAAAUCUCUUCUAAAGCUAAAUACCGGCCAGAGACCGAUAGCGCACAAGUAGAGUGAUCGAAAGAUGAAAAGCACCUUGAAAAGGGGGUUAAACAGUACGUGAAAUUGUUAAAAGGGAAGCGUUUAUGACCAGACUUGUGUCGUGUGGCUCAUCCGAGGUUCUCCCCGGUGCACUCCACACGGCUCAGGCCAACAUCGGUUUUCGUUGGGGGAUAAGAACAGCAGGAACGUGGCCCUUCUCGGAGGGUGUUAUAGCCUGCUGUACGAUACCCUGAUGGGGACCGAGGACCGCGCUUCGGCUAGGAUGUUGGCGUAAUGGUCAUUAGCGACCCGUCUUGAAACACGGACCAAGGAGUCGUCCAUUAGAGCGAGCGUUUGGGUGUAAAACCCGCACGCGUAAUGAAAGUGAAAUUAGGUGAGAGCUUCGGCGCAUCAUCGACCGAUCCUGAAGUUUACGGAUGGAUUUGAGUAAGAGUUUUAACGGACGGACCCGAAAGACAGUGAACUAUGCUUGAAUAGGGUGAAGCCAGAGGAAACUCUGGUGGAGGCUCGCAGCGGUUCUGACGUGCAAAUCGAUCGUCAAUUUGAGCAUGGGGGC
rnacentral:rRNA from 1 species